CCUGGUGGCUAUAGCGAGCGGGAACCACCUGAUCCCAUCCCGAACUCAGAAGUGAAAACGCUCAGCGCCGAUGAUAGUAUGGUGUAUUCUAUGCGAAAGUAGGACACCGCCAGGA
rnacentral:rRNA from 2 species